rnacentral:rRNA from 1 species
AGCGAACGCUGGCGGCAGGCCUAACACAUGCAAGUCGAGCGCCCCGCAGGGGGAGCGGCAGACGGGAGAGUAACACGUGGGAACGUACCCUUCAGUUCGGAACAACCCAGGGAAACUUGGGCUAAUACCGAAUACGUCCGUAAGGAGAAAGAUUUAUCGCUGAAGGAUCGGCCCGCGUCUGAUUAGCUAGUUGGUGAGGUAACGGCUCACCAAGGCGACGAUCAGUAGCUGGUCUGAGAGGAUGAUCAGCCUCACUGGGACUGAGACACGGCCCAGACUCCUACGGGAGGCAGCAGUGGGGAAUAUUGGACAAUGGGCGCAAGCCUGAUCCAGCCAUGCCGCGUGGAUGAUGAAGGCCCUAGGGUUGUAAAGUCCUUUUAACGGGGAAGAUAAUGACGGUACCCGUAGAAUAAGCCCCGGCUAACUUCGUGCCAGCCGCCGCUGUAA